GAGGGCGAUGUGGAGCCCAGGAACCAGAGGGACCGGAAUCGUCCCGGCAUCCCUUCCUGGCUCCCCCAGGGUCCCUGAGGCUCCAGACCCUCCUCCAGCCGGUCCUGCCUUUGCAGGGCGAGCCCGAGCUGUCUGCGGAGUUUCUCCAGAUGCAGUGCUGAGCUCGCUGGACCUCAGAGCCUGCGGGGCGGAUGCGAGGCUGCCCACAGCCUCCCUGAGCUGUGCCUCAGUUUCCACACCUGCUCCCGCAGUGCAGGAGCCUGCUGCCCAGAGCGGGGCCGCGCCAGGGAGGAUGCUGCUGGCCAGCGGCACUCCUCGCACAGAUGGCGGGGCCUCAGCUGUGUCCGGCCCCGCCUCCCAGGGCAGAGAGGCUUCCGGAAUCCAGUUCCCCUUCCGCAGCGCCCGGAGUCUCCAGAUCACAGGACUGAGUGGGUGCCUUUGGAUCUAGGGCUUGGCUGGCCGAUGUUCUCAGCCGCCCAUGGAUGGAUGGAAAAGGUCUCAAUCCACAAGCCUCAUCUGCAAGCAUCCUAGGACCUUCCUCUCAGACAAAAAUUCCAAAGAGGGCCAAACAAGAAGAAAAACGGCAGACUUCCCAUGGUGCAUUGCAUUGGGAGCACCAGCUGAUACCCUCUGGCCCCCAGACUGACUUGGGAAGGAUCCCAAAGAAGUGUUCAUCGGUCUGGCCUCGCGGACAGAAAGGCUGCCAGGGCCCUGCCCAUUGCACUGAGAUCCCCAGUAUCGAGGACAGCUCAGAGGCAUCCCAGUGCCAUCUGCUGUUGAACAGCAUGAGAUGCACUGAUCCAUAAGGGGCGACUUUCUUUCAAAGACCUUUGUGCUGGGUCGUUGCCAAAGCUGUUUCAACUGGGAUCAUUCGUGGCUCUGCCUACAACACACGUCGAGGCGGGUUUCUCUGGAUGAGCUCCAUCAGUCACGUGCUCGCAGUGGGGAGCAGCUGUCUGAGGCUGGGGUGCAGAAGAGGAGGGCGAUGCUUCACUUGCCCUGGGCCUGGCAGAGAAUGUGGCUUUGGGCCUCAGAUGCACCCAGCCGGGAGGUGCCUGACAGCACAGUGUGGGGGGCAGCUUCCUUAUCCAUCCAUCUGUGCAUGGACAUUGAGGACCAUUUGUGACAACAUGGACGGACCCAGAGGACACUAUGCCCCAUGAAGUAAGCCAGACACAGAAGGGCAGACACCACACGAUGCCCCUUACUGAGGAAACUGAAAUAGUCACAGUGGCAGAGGGCAGAACAGGGCCUCCCAGAGCCGGGGGAGGGGGAAGCGGGGCAUGGCUGUUCGGUGGGUAUGAAGUUUCAGUCUCGCGAGAUGAAUUAGGGCUAGAGAGCUGCUGUCGCGUGGGGCUUGUCGUCCACAAUGCUGUGCUGUGCACUUAGAGGCUUGUUAAGAAGCGGGGAGGGUAGAGCCCAGGGGUAGAGCGCUAUGCUGAGUGUGCACAGGAUGCUGGGUUCUCUCCCCAGUACCUCCAUUAAAUAAGUAAAUAAACCUAAUCACCCCUACCUCCCCCAAAACAAACAACAACAAAAACAAGGAAGCUUGUCAAGGGAGUAGACCUCAUGCUAAGUGUCGUCACUACACACACAACACCGUCCAAGGGACACAAGGACACUUGUGGAGGUGAUGGCAGGGCGGUUACUUUGAGAACAGGGGGUGGUUGCUGGCGGGGCGUGUGCACGUGUCCAGAUUCAUUAAACAUGUGCAGGUUAGGAAGCCUAAAACCUCGCAGGUCCUCCUGAACCUCAGGAAAUUCAGACAUGUUCCUGGAUAUCAUUUUUCCAAAUCCAAGAAUUUCCCCCCUUUUUUGGUCUCAGUUGCCAGAGAGGUUGAAAGUCAGAUUUAUGGCCUGCGCUUCGUGAUGUCCCCGGCCAGGGGAGAGACGUGCGCAGUGCUGCUGGGAAAGAGCCCUGCAAGCUUCACGCUGAGACGCGCCCCCGCCCGGCACCGCAGGCUCCCAGCCGGCGUGAGCCCUUUAGCAAGUGGGUGGAGCACAAACCUUGACUAAAGGGCAAGACACACACUCAGAGAACCAGGAAGAUGUGUCCUCCCAGCCCAUCUCAUCUCGGGGAGAGAGUUAAGACACGUCCCACGCUGACAGUCCGACCCACCUUGGCAGUGAGCGGACUCAGAAGAGGGAGACCUGGCACAGGCAGGAGCUCGAAGGAGCAGCCUUUACUGGUUACACAGGAACCAGAAAGAUCAGUCAGCCAGUUAGGGUUUUGCAGUUGUCUCAUUGCUUUGAUUUAUUUGUAAUUACCUAAUAGCUCUAGUUGGUAACAUGAGAACAUGGUGUACAUUUCCAAAGGACCCAAAGGUCCCAAAGGUCCCAAAGGCUGUGCCGCAAGAAGUCAGUCACCCUCCCAGACUGGCCUUCCAACUACAACCCCCCCACACACACACUGGGUAAAUGCUGACACUAGUUCCUCUGCAAGGAGACCAUGUGGGUCUAACAGGCUUGGCAAGGGACCCUGGCCCAUCCCAGAGAUGAGGUUUAAAAGACUCCUCUGUGGAAGUGGUGCUUGAGCUGAGAGGCGAAGGACAAAUAGGGGGUUGCUAGUGAAAGAAGGGAUUGCCUGUGCAAAGGCCCUGUGGUCAGCGUGCGCGCAGCACUUUUGAUGAGAUGACAAGCAGGUAAAGCGGCCCAUUUGCAGGGAGUGAGGUGGGGGGUGGGAGGAGAAAACACAGAAGCCACGGGCAGAGGUAGCAAAGGCUGGUGCAGGGCGUCCUGGGCCAUCUCAGGACUGUGAUCUUUAUCCACAGAACUGAUUUUAGCCCUGACAGUUGUGGGGGUGGGUAUAAGCAACAGAUCCAUUUUACAUUUUGAAAACAUAGUCACUUGUAGCUGCGGUGUAGGAGGAGCGAGGCGCCGGCACUGGUGAGGGUAGGGCAGUUAGGAGACUACUAGAAGACUUGGGGGUCUGCCCCACACCUGCUUGGCAUCCCCUUUGAGCUGGGCCACAGCUAUGGUCAUGGGGGACACUCCCACGUGGGCUUCAGUGGCCUCACACAACGGCCCAGCCUCAAGUGCAUCCUCCCCCAGGGCUUCUCCAAUGACACCGGUGCCGGGGAAGCUGCCGGUGCGCGUGUGGGAAUGAUCUGAAGUGCAGGGGAGUCCACGCUUCCAGGAGCAGCCCUCGGCCAGUGGGAACGGGAGCCAAUGGCAAAGGCCCCUCCUGGGCAACCAGGGUGCGCCCUUCAGACGGCCCUGGGCGGGUGCGAGGUUCCACGGCGGUGACCUCACUUACACGGUCUCGGUGGACAUUCCCUCUCCUCCCACUCUGCCUGCCCCCACUCCUGAUUCGGGAGUUACUCCUAAGUUAACAGCCAGCGCAGAAGUGCUCGUGGGCUCUGCUUUCUCGGCGGAUCGCAAGUAAGAAGGAAGCAAUGGCAGCUGUCUAGGUAAGAGAGGACAGGAGCUCGGGCUGGGGCGGGAGCUGUAGGGACGGACGGAUUUAAAGAUAUUUAGGAGGUUAAAUCAAGAGUCCAGAGCAGCUGCGUUCUCAAACACCACUCUCUUACGUUCCCUUUGACGGUCGGUGUGGCCGUCCAGGGCGGAGGAGGCGUUUCCCGGCUGUGCAGACGGCCACCGUCUAUAGAGGAGGAACUCAACAGCCACUGCAAAACGAGGGUUACAGGAGACGAGGUCGGUGCUUCCAGGCAGUCCUUAAUCAGUUGAAUUGAAAAUGGGCCCUUGGGCCGAUACGCCUGCACGAGUGCCUCCUUCAGGCCAGACCGCGCAGCCACUGCCACGGAGAGAGGAGCAGCAGAAACAGCAGGAGGACGUGGAGGAGGAGUGACCGUCAUUCACCCGCUGAAGGUGGAGAAAUGGGGAUGCAGAGAGCAGGGGACGAGCCGUGGAGAGUCCAGCCACCUCUGUUCAGGCUGACUCACUGGCCUCGCUGAUUGUCAGUCAGAUCCGUUACUCGGUAGAUGAGAUUCAAGCCUGGUGGCUACAGUGACAGUCAUGCUACAAUAUAGCAACUUCAUGAGGCGGGUUCUGCUGUUGUCCCCAUUUUACAGAUGAAGAAACUGAGGCAAAAUGAAACAGCUUAAUAACUUUCCCGGGAAGACAUCGGCACAGCCCCUCUCGGAGAACACGCUCCACUACACGCCUGGCGGCCGCGGCAACACAGCCCUCUUGUUCCUGCAGCGCCCUCACGACCCGGGCCCGAGUGGCAAGCCAAGGACCUGCGGGAGCCUGUCUAUGGGCUCCCAAAGCUGUGCAGUGGCCUGAAAAGAAUGGAAAUAAAAGGAAGCAGCAGAGGCGUGAACGCCGGGGACCCAGCAGCGCACGAGCCAGCGGCGACACGGAGCCCGGCAAGCUCUCAGAGAAACUCGCUCCAGCGUCCACGGCUGCCUUUCUCACCAGGACCGCUUUCCCCCCAAAGCACGAGUGGUCUCUUCAGCAAUCUCCGGUCCCAUCUUGCCCGGGAACUGUCUGAGGACCAGACUGGAAGCUGGGGGGUCAGAUUUGGGAGAAUUUACAUCGUCACACCAACCCUCCAACUGCCUCUUGCAGCCUCAGCUUUUUUUCUGGGAACAAUGGAGUGGACAGUGAGAUAAGAAGGAAACUGGAAGGAACUGCUGUGGAGAUGUGCCCGUGGAAUGCAUGGGGGAGGAUUCACCUUCUCGCAACUCAAGCCUGUCCCUCUGGGACCCUGUGCACCCAUCUCUCCAGGGGUCUGCUGGGGUGUCUCGGUAAACUCGCCGGGCCGACCCCCGGGCAUCACCAGCUCUAGAGAUUUGAUCCAUCUGCACACCCCACAGACUAAGCUUAGGAUGUGUCAUUACGCUGACGUCUGCAAACGCAUCUCAAGGUCAUUUCAGACAGCGGGGUCGUGCGCUGAUGAGGUCCAAGCAAAAGGCUCCGGGACCAUGCUUCCCCGAGUCUCUGGAGCCCCGGUCAGCACAGGAUCUGCCGCCCUCUUAGGAAUGUAAAUCUCAGGGAGACAGACUCUCAGCCGAGCAGGCGGAACACCGUCUCCCCUGCACGCGACGCCAUCCUGCACGUGGCAGAGGCUUGUUGGACACCUUCACUCAGAGUCAAGGAAUUCAUUCCCAGCUCACAGAAACCGCAAGCCACGGAAAGCUGAGGUUAUUGCUUGUUGAGAGAAAUAACAUCAAGAUGGAUGAGAUCAGCCUGAUGGCUCUGGGCAUGCCUGCCAAGGGGACUGUGAAAUUCCAUGAAACGCCCCACCUUCCUCCACUCACCCAGACAGCCAGACCCCUCUAGUGUCCAUCUCUCCUUCCCCUGGACAGCUGUUCGAAGGGGAGCUGGAAUCACCACACACACACAAAUGACCUGGCACUGCCUAACUGGCCUUGCCCACCUACCUGUGAUGACAGGGGAGGCCUCAACACCUGUUUCUGGCACACCUCUCCACAAACAGCUCUAAAUCGCAGUGGAGGUGACAGGUGUUGCUGAACGAGCCCUAAUAGGGUAGCACUUCAAGAACUGAAAACUAGUCAUCUGGCAGCUGAACUCACCCUAGGGCGCGUCACACGUUAAUCACUCAUUACUGCUCCAACACCCAGGCUGUUUCAAUCAGCCGCGACAUCAGGAAAAUUUGUUCCUCAAGGGAAGAAAUCACAUAAGACGUGCAGAUAGGUGAGAACUCUCUGGAAACAGAGACCUGGAGCUGUCCUGUCUCUCUGUCCCCUCUUUAGGCUGAGAAGAAAUAGAGCUCACGGCAACUCAACCAACAAUGAAAAGAAGGGAAGUCUGACCAUUCCCUAGGAACCAGAGGGGCCAAGGCAUGGAAAUGUAACCCUGCAUUUUACAGCUGAGUACACUUAGUCACAAGAGUGAAGCCUCGCCUGAAGUCACACGUUAGCUGGAGAGUCAGAGCUAGAACACUUAUCUCCUGUCAUUCUGUCUCCUGGGCAGCCGGGUUGAGCUGUGAUGUUUACAGAGAUUCCAGUUGCAUUGUUAAUGAAUUAAUUGCAGCAGGCCUAUGUCUUAGUCUGCUGGGCUGCAAGAACGACAUGUCAUCGGCGGGGUGGAGUGGGGACUUAAAUAGCAGACACUUAUCGCUCACAAUUCUGGAGGCUGGAAGUCCUGGAUCAAGGAGCAGACGGAUUCGGCUCCUGGGGAGAACUCUCUCCUUGGCUCUUAUAAGGGCACUAAUCCCAGCACGAGGGCCCCACCCCGUGACCUAAUUACCUCCCUAAGACCCUACCUCUAAAUUGGAAGGUAGGGCCUCAACACACAUUUAGUCCACAACAUCCUGCCUUAAGUCCAUGACUCAGAAUGUAUCUCUUCGGCAUCUUGAGGGGAAAAAAAGCAAAUUCAUGUUUUUGAAAGCAAACAAUUACCUUUUGGG